rnacentral:rRNA from 1 species
CAGUAGCCGCGGUAAUACGUAGGUGGCAAGCGUUGUCCGGAUUUAUUGGGCGUAAAGCGAGCGCAGGCGGUUCCUUAGGUCUGAUGUGAAAGCCCACGGCUCAACCGUGGAAGGUCAUUGGAAACUGGGGAACUUGAGUGCAGAAGAGGAGAGUGGAAUUCCAUGUGUAGCGGUGAAAUGCGUAGAUAUAUGGAGGAACACCAGUGGCGAAGGCGACUCUCUGGUCUGUAACUGACGCUGAGGCUCGAAAGCGUGGGGAGCAAACAGGAUUAGAUACCCCUGUAGUCCCUGUCUCUUAUAC